UUUGCAUAGAAUUUGAGAAUGAUUUUUGACUUUGAAUUGAACUCGUAUGCACCUCAGUAAGCUUUUACGUGACUCAUAGAAGAAAAGUCUGAGUGACAUAAGUGAGGAAACCGUUGAACAACCUCACAACCUCUCCUUCUGUAAUAGCUCUCAGAAAGGGGCCUCAAUAAAUAAAAACACUGAGAUUUCUAAUAACUUUAAAGGCAUCAUUGUGUUCUUCACUGCCUACGGUAACGGACACCCCAAAGGUGGGGGCGCCUGAGCUCAGUGUCCAGCGUUACCUUCCCCACACCCAUUCUACAGCAGUCAUGUAGUUUAGGUGGAAUUAACCCCUCCAUCAGCCCCAGGGCUCAAGUCUGAUUGUUAGGAUCCAUCGGGAUCAUCCCACCCCGUUUGCCGUGGACGUUGGCUUCAGUGGCCUUGGCUUAAGCCAAUCGAUGGCUGGGUCAGCGGGAAUCUCAGAACGUCUGUUAGGUAGUUGAGGAGAGCAACUUAUCUUUCCCAGAUAAGAAAAAGGAAGCACGUGAAUCUACUUGUACCGACAGAUAUCCUAUAACUUCAAGGGGUCCAGCCCUAGGGUGAAGCCCACACUGUCGACGGAAGAUAGAGCUCUGAAAAAAAAAAUGGAAGCAACAGAGUCAACGAUGACAUCAUGGAGCUAACCAUUCUGAAACUCACACCCCCGGAGUUCCACGGAACCUAUUAACUCCGUUAUUGUUUAAGGCGAGGCGAGUUGGUCUUUCCGUCACUUGGAAUGGAGAGGCUUUCCAACUGAGGCAGAAACAUUGGUCUGUGGCACACCCCAAAAAUCACAUUAAAAUGAGCACAGUUUCCUCUUUUGAAGGCCCACUGAGAUGAGUUUCUGCUAAUUCUCUUACAUAAAGUAGGAUGUGGAGGUCUCCGAUUCCUGCUCAGAGCUGGGAAUGGCCGCGUUCUGCAGGCUGGUGCCUCGCUGGAGCUCCAGCUGGAUGGCUCCUCUGAUGAUUGGGACUCUCUCCUGUUUGCAGUCGCCCUGAAGCUUGGGUUAGAGCAGCCAAGGAGGCUUCAGCACAUGUCCAGGCCUUGUCACAGGUGCCUGGGAAACUGGCUCAUCUGGAGUGUUGGGAUACCUGGGCCUCUGCCUUCCUUCCAUGUAGACCCAGGGCCUCAGUGUUGCCCUGGAGACUCUCCAGAAGGGCAGCUGGACAUCGGAGGUGGCGGUUCAACGCUCCCAAAAGGGCCAACGUAGAAGCUGUUGGUGCCGUGUCCCAUUUCCACCACAUUCUUUUGGUUAAAGUGGGUCACGGGGCCAAAGAGAGUCAAUGUGGGGUGAUGUGGACAGGAGUAUGAAUGUGGGAGGUCUGGGUCCCCGGGGCCUCUUUGGAGAAGAGCUACCGUCCACGGUGCUAGUGCUCGCUGAGAAUUGAGAAACAAACAAAUAAAAUAAAAUAAAAUAAAAAACUAGAGGAGGAG
rnacentral:lncRNA from 12 species